rnacentral:rRNA from 1 species
AUUGAAUGCUGGCGGCAGGCCUAACACAUGCAAGUCGAACGGCAGCACAGUAAUAGCUUGCUCUUACGGGUGGCGACUGGCGGAUGGGUCCUGAAUACAUCGGAAUCUACUUUUUCGUGGGUGAUAACGUAGGGAAACUUACGCUAAUACCGCAUACGGCCUACGGGUGAAAGCAUGGGAUCUUCGGACCUUGCGCGAUUGAAUGAGCCGAUGUCGGAUUAGCUAGUUGGCGGGGUAAAUGCCCACCAAGGCGACGAUCCGUAGCUGGUCUGAGAGGAUGAUCAGCCACACUGGAACUGAGACACGGUCCAGACUCCUACGGGAGGCAGCAGUGGGGAAUAUUGGACAAUGGGCGCAAGCCUGAUCCAGCCAUACCGCGUGGGUGAAGAAGGCCUUCGGGUUGUAAAGCCCUUUUGUUGGGAAAGAAAAGCAGCAGGUUAAUACCUCGCUGUUCUGACGGUACCAAAAGAAUAAGCACCGGCUAACUUCGUG